AUUGAACGCUGGCGGCAGGCCUAACACAUGCAAGUCGAACGAGUGGCGGACGGGUGAGUAAUGUCUGGGAAACUGCCUGAUGGAGGGGGAUACCUACUGGAAACGGUAGCUACUACCGCAUACCAUCGGAUGUGCCCAGAUGGGCUUAGCUAGUAGGUGGGGUAAAGGCUCACCUAGGCGACGAUACCUAGCUGGUCUGAGAGGAUGACAAGCAACACGGGAAAGGAGACACGGUCCAGACGCCUACGGGAGGCAGCAGUGGGGAAUAUGGCACAAUGGGCGCAAGCCUGAUGCAGCCAUGCGGCGUGUAUGAAGAAGGCCUUCGGGUGGUAAAGUACUUUCAGCGGGGAGGCGGUACCCGCAGAAGAAGCACCGGCUAACUCCGUGCCAGCAGCCGCGGUAAUUC
rnacentral:rRNA from 1 species